UGGGGAAUAUUGGACAAUGGGCGAAAGCCUGAUCCAGCCAUGCCGCGUGAGUGACGAAGGCCUUAGGGUUGUAAAACUCUUUCGUCGGGGACGAUAAUGACGGUACCCGAAGAAGAAGCUCCGGCUAACUUCGUGCCAGCAGCCGCGGUAAUACGAAGGGAGCUAGCGUUGUUCGGAAUCACUGGGCGUAAAGCGCACGUAGGCGGAUAGUUAAGUCAGGGGUGAAAUCCUGGGGCUCAACCCCAGAACUGCCUUUGAUACUGGCUGUCUCGAGGUCGAGAGAGGUUGGUGGAAUUCCUAGUGUAGAGGUGAAAUUCGUAGAUAUUAGGAAGAACACCAGUGGCGAAGGCGGCCAACUGGCUCGAUACUGACGCUGAGGUGCGAAAGCGUGGGGAGCAAACAGGAUUAGAUACCCAUGUAGUCCCUGAGCGGGCUGGCAAGGCGCAU
rnacentral:rRNA from 1 species